CAUCAGCGGCGAACGGGUGAGUAACACGUGGGUGACUUGCCCCGAAGAUGGGGAUAACCUCUGGAAAGGGGGGCUAAUACCCAAUGUGCUCGGUGAUUCGGUUCAUCGAGUAAAGCUCCGGCGCUUCGGGAGAGGCCUGCGGCCCAUCAGCUAGUUGGUAGGGUAACGGCCUACCAAGGCAGAGACGGGUAGGGGGCGUGAGAGCGCGGACCCCCACACUGGCACUGAGAUACGGGCCAGACUCCUACGGGAGGCAGGAGUAAGGGAUAUUGCGCAAUGGACGAAAGUCAGACGCAGCGACGCCGCGUGGGCGAUGAAGGCCUUCGGGUUGUAAAGCCCUUUUAUGGGGGAAGAGAAAAAGGACGGUACCCCAGGAAUAAGUCCCGGCUAACUACGUGCCAGCAGCCGCGGUAAAACGUAGGGGACAAGCGUUAUCCGGAUUCACUGGGCGUAAAGAGCGUUGAGGCGGUUCCGUAAGUUGGGCGUGAAAGCUCCGGGCUUAACUCGGAGAUGUCGUUCAAUACUGCGGGGCUUGAGGACAGCAGAGGAAGGUGGAAUUCCCGGUGUAGUGGUGAAAUGCGUAGAUAUCGGGAGGAACACCCGUGGCGAAGGCGGCCUUCUGGGCUGUUCCUGACGCUGAAGGCGAGAGCUAGGGGAGCGAACGGGAUUAGAUACCCCGGUAGUCCUAGCUGUAAACGAUGGAUGCUGGGUG
rnacentral:rRNA from 1 species